rnacentral:rRNA from 1 species
AUGAAUGGACACAUGAAUUUUAGUGUUCAAGGCAUGUACAGGUUAACUAAUGGUGCCCCUUACAACACCAUGCCACCAAUUGGCACGAAUAGCAACUCAAGACCAGUUGAGGUGGUGGACUGCAGGCACCUCCAUAAAGUGGGCUCUGGUAACCUAAAUGGACACUCAUUUGAUCUUGUUGAAGGAGAUAAAUUUGGAUACCAUAAUCUGCUGAGUUCCACGGUAGGAUGCGUCGACUUCAAAUUAAAAUUUCCUACGCGCAGAACAACCAAGAACAUGCUACGGGAGAUGGAUCACAGUUCGUUACCACUAGGCGCGCAGUGUCGUGCAUCGGAAGAAGAGUUGGGGCAGCGCGUCCGCGUGGUUCGUCUCCUCCUCGUCCGAACUCCCUCGAACAGCCGGGCGUCGGAUCCCUCGUACAGGUUUGCCGGAGCGGCCCAGGUACAACGCCUCUAA